rnacentral:tRNA from 3 species
GGGAGCGGAUGCGUGCCUGGUGGCUGUCGCGGACUUCAAAUCCGUUGCGGCGUAGCGAGAGUUGCGCUGGGUGGGUUCGAUUCCCACACGUUCCCGCCA